GACAGAGGGUGCAAACGUUGUUCGGAAUUACUGGGCGUAAAGCGUGUGUAGGCGGCCGCGACAGUCGGAUGUGAAAGCCCUGGGCUCAACCUCAGGAAGUGCACCCGAUACUACGUGGCUCGAGUACCGGAGAGGUUGGUGGAAUUCUCGGUGUAGAGGUGAAAUCGUAGAUAGUCGAGAGGAACACCUGUGGCGAAGGCGGCCAACUGGACGAGUACUGACGCUGAGACACGAAAGCGUGGGGAGCAAACAGG
rnacentral:rRNA from 1 species